UUUUGUUUUUCUUGUUUUUUUAAAUUCAAGUGAUCGUUCAUUUGGCAAAUUGAAGCUAUGGACAAACUCAAGAAGAACGGCACAAGUAUUUUCUAGCGUCAUUGUUUCUUCCUUGUUUCUAGGAUCAAAGCCGAGUGUACUUCCGAGAUGCAAUUAAAACUUUACUUUUUAGUCGAUUUUCUGAAUCUCACAAUCGUUUUUAUAUGAAUAGAAAGUAAAGACCUUGAUUCUCAGCUAUUCAAGUUCUUCUGCUGCUCAGAAACUUAUGCUUGUUUUACGAAAUUUUUAUAGCCGUUAAGCUGCUCGUCGAUCUUUUCUCCAAGUUUUAGAUUUUUAGACUUAAAAAAUCGCUGCUUUUUUACUUUUCAAGCUGCUGCGCCUCUGCUUAAAAAAAGCCACUGCUCUUUCUGCCACUCUGCUUUCUAAAUUUUCAAGCUGCUGCCCCUGCUUGCUUUAAGAAAGUGUUUUAGUCUUUGCUUCUGCUUCCUGUGUCCCCCAAGUUUUAGAUUUUCGAACCUACUAUCGAACUUGCUCAAUCUAAUGACAAUUGUUCCGAUUACAGUUUCGCUGCUUCAAGUCAAACAUCUCGGAGACUAUGCUGAGGAGCUGCUUAUUCUGGCCCACUAGUAAGUAAAAAACUUCUUUUCCACUCUAUUAGAAAAUAGUCUGUUCACCAUCUUAGGAGUGGCCGUCCUUGUAUGUUAAAAACUUUGGAGAUCCAGAAGACUAUCACAAAAGGCAUAUCAGGCUGGAGCAAUUAGUAUUUAGUCUCGCA
rnacentral:lncRNA from 1 species